ACGUAGGUGGCGAGCGUUGUCCGGAUUUAUUGGGUUUAAAGGGUGCGUAGGCGGCUUUGUAAGUCAGUGGUGAAAUACUCCAGCUUAACUGGAGGGGUGCCAUUGAUACUGCGGAGCUUGAGUACAGAUGAGGUAGGCGGAAUUGACGGUGUAGCGGUGAAAUGCAUAGAUAUCGUCAAGAACACCGAUAGCGAAGGCAGCUUACUGGGCUGUAACUGACGCUGAGGCACGAAAGCAUGGGUAGCGAACAGGA
rnacentral:rRNA from 1 species